rnacentral:tRNA from 1 species
UAGGGUGUAACUCAGUGGUAGGGCACUUGCCUGGCAUGCUGGAGGCUCUGGGUUCAAUUCCCAACACUGCAA